rnacentral:misc_RNA from 1 species
AAGUCGUAACAAGGUUUCCGUAGGUGAACCUGCGGAAGGAUCAUUAAAGAGUCGCCCUGCACCCCUCCCGGGGACGAGGGCCACGGGUGAGGCCCGGGAUUAAACCCCCGGGUCCCCGUCCGUCCUUCCACCCUGUCGUCUCACCUUCUACGUUGCCUUUUCGGACGGGCCUUGGGUUCUGGUCCCCCGGGGCAGCCCCCUUCGCCCCGGGCGUGGCCACCCCGUCCCGACCGGGAGCCAGCGCCCCGCCGAGAGACCCCACCCCAUUCCCUCUGAUUUUUUUCCCAUGCGGUCUGAGCGAAACACGAAUAAAAUAAAA